rnacentral:rRNA from 1 species
UACAGAGGGGGCAAGCGUUGUUCGGAAUUACUGGGCGUAAAGGGCGCGUAGGCGGCCUGCUAAGUCGAACGUGAAAUCCCCGGGCUCAACCCGGGAACUGCGUCCGAUACUGGCAGGCUUGAAUCCGCGAGAGGGAUGUGGAAUUCCAGGUGUAGCGGUGAAAUGCGUAGAUAUCUGGAGGAACACCGGUGGCGAAGGCGGCAUCCUGGACCGGCAUUGACGCUGAGGCGCGAAAGCCAGGGGAGCAAACGGG